GUUAUCUGAACGACGCAGAAGCGACGGCAGCGACGAUUGAUUCAGAAGGAUGGUUAAAGACGGGUGAUCUUUGUUACGUCGAUGGUGAUGGUUACCUUUACAUUGUGGAUUGGUUGAAGGAGCUUAUCAAAUACAAGGGAUUUUAGGUUCCUCCUGCUGAGCUUGAGGCAUUGCUACUUUCUCACCCCCACAUUUCUGAUGCUGCUGUCGUGCCGAUUCCGGAUGAUGAGGUUGGGCAGUAUCCCAUGGCGUAUGUGGUUAGG